rnacentral:rRNA from 1 species
GCUGGCGGCAUGCCUAACACAUGCAAGUCGAACGAGAUCUUCGGAUCUAGUGGCGCACGGGUGAGUAACGCGUGGGAACCUACCUUUUAGUACGGGACAACGUUUGGAAACGAACGCUAAUACCGUAUACGCCCUCCGGGGGAAAGGUCAGCCGCUAAAAGAGGGGCCCGCGUCUGAUUAGCUUGUUGGUAAGGUAAUGGCUUACCAAGGCUACGAUCAGUAGCUGGUCUGAGAGGAUGAUCAGCCACACUGGGACUGAGACACGGCCCAGACUCCUACGGGAGGCAGCAGUGGGGAAUAUUGGACAAUGGAGGCAACUCUGAUCCAGCAAUGCCGCGUGUGUGAUGAAGGCCCUAGGGUUGUAAAGCACUUUCAACGGUGAAGAUGAUGACGGUAGCCGUAGAAGAAGCCCCGGCUAACUUCGUGCCAGCAGCCGCGGUAAUACGAAGGGGGCGAGCGUUAUUCGGAAUUAUUGGGCGUAAAGGGCUCGCAGGCUGCUUGAACAGUUAGACGUGAAAUCCCCGGGCUUAACCUGGGAACUGCGUUUAAUACUAGCAAGCUAGAGAAAUAGAGAGGAAAGUGGAACUCCCAGUGUAGAGGUGAAAUUCGUAGAUAUUGGGAAGAACACCAGUGGCGAAAGCGACU